GAACUUAGAAUAUAAAAACACUUCAGCCGUUCAGCGAUCAAAACCUUUGAGCUGAUCAAAACUGAUAAAAGUCUAACAGACCGUCAAGAUUUGACUCACUUGCGUGACGUCACAAAAAAUGCUAUCCCCAGACUCCUGUAGCCGACGUCCAUGUGCCAAAAAUUUAUGUGUUUAAACCGCUCUAAAAUUUUUCCUUUUUAAUGAAAUCAAAAAAUUCUUUCACCAAAACACUCCACAUAAUGUGUACUUUCAAUACACAAAAAAUCAAUUUUUGUGUCAGGGGCACUUUAACGAAUUGGCCAAUCGUAGCGCGUGUAUAUUAAGCUUCUCACCAAUAGCUAAUCACGUUUGAGCACAGAAAUCCAUGCAAUUCAAAAGAUGGCACGAAUACGGUAUUGUUCGGUUUGUUCCCUGGUUCGCAGACUGAUUUUUUCCCAUUUAAAGUCAAGCUGCACGCAGGCUAAAUUAUCCCGGAUCAGGGAGUUUCCUG